rnacentral:rRNA from 1 species
GACGAACGCUGGCGGCGUGCCUAAUACAUGCAAGUCGAACGCAGUGGGGACGGGUGAGUAACACGUGGGUAACCUCCCAUCAGAGGGGAGAACACGUGGAAACAGGUGCUAAACCGAUACUGAUGGAUGGACCCGCGGGGCAUUAGCUAGUUGGUGGGGUAACGGCUAACCAAGGCCACGAUGCAUAGCCGGCCGGAGAGGGUGUUGGGCAACACUGGAGCGUAGACACGGCCCCUACUCCUACGGGAGGCAGCAGUAGCGAAUCUUCGGCAAUGGACGAAAGUCUGACCGAGCGACGCCGCGUGAGUGAAGAAGGUGUUCGGAUCGUAAAACUCUGUUGUUAGAGAAGCGGUAUCUAACCAGAAAGCCACGGCUAACUACGUGCCAGCAGCCGCGGUAAUAC